rnacentral:rRNA from 1 species
GGGGGAUAUUGCACAAUGGAGGAAACUCUGAUGCAGCAACGCCGCGUGAGGGAAGAAGGUCUUCGGAUUGUAAACCUUUGUCCUUGGUGACGAUAAUGACGGUAGCCAAGGAGGAAGCUCCGGCUAACUACGUGCCAGCAGCCGCGGUAAUACGUAGGGAGCGAGCGUUGUCCGGAUUUACUGGGUGUAAAGGGUGCGUAGGCGGCUCUGCAAGUCAGGUGUGAAAACCAUCGGCUUAACUGAUGGACUGCAUUUGAAACUGUGGAGCUCGAGUGGAGUAGAGGCAGACGGAAUUCCCGGUGUAGCGGUGAAAUGCGUAGAGAUCGGGAGGAACACCAGUGGCGAAGGCGGCCUGCUGGGCUUUAACUGACGCUGAAGCACGAAAGCAUGGGUAGCAAAC